AUGCUCGUUUUGGCAGCACAUAUACUAAAGCUGGAAGGAGAGAGAGAUUAGCAUGGCCCCUGCACAAGGAUGACACAUAAAUAUCUGUGAAUAUAUAUCAUAAGUAU